AACUGCCAUCAAAACUUUUUGGCUUGAGUAUGAUAGAGGAAAGUGGAAUUUCUAGUGUAGAGGUGAAAUUCGUAGAUAUUAGAAAGAACACCAAAAGCGAAGGCAACUUUCUGGAUCAUUACUGACACUGAGGAGCGAAAGCAUGGGUAGCGAAGAGGAUUAGAUACCCUCGUAGUCCAUGCUGUAAACGAUGUGUGCUAGACGUUGGAAAUUUAAUUUUCAGUGUCGCAGCAAAAGCGUUAAGCACACCGCCUGGGGAGUACGACCGCAAGGUUAAAACUCAAAUGAAUUGACGGGGACCCGCACAAGCAGUGGAGCAUGUGGUUUAAUUCGAAGAUACGCGCAGAACCUUACCAACUCUUGACAUGUUCGUCGCGACUCGUAGAGAUAUGAGUCUUCGGUUCGGCCGGACGAAACACAGGUGCUGCAUGGCCGUCGUCAGCUCGUGUCGUGAGAUGUUGGGUUAAGUCCCGCAACGAGCGCAACCCCUACGUUUAGUUACUAACAUUUAGUUGAGUACCCUAAACGAACUGCCAGUGAUAAGCUGGAGGAAGGUGGGGAUGACGUCAAGUCCUCAUGGCCCUUACGAGUUGGGCUACACACGUGCUACAAUGGUACUUACAAUAAGAUGCAAAGAGGCAACUCUAAGCCAAUCUUAAAAAUGUAUCUCAGUUCGGAUUGCACUCUGCAACUCGAGUGCAUGAAGCUGGAAUUGCUAGUAAUCGCGGAUCAGCGCGCCGCGGUGAAUACGUUCCCGGGUCUUGUACACACCGCCCGUCACACAUGGAAGUUGGUUACACCUUAAGGCAAAGCGUAAAACCUUUGACUACGGUACGAUCAGCAACUGGGGUGAAGUCGUAACAAGGUAACC
rnacentral:rRNA from 1 species